UACGUAGGGUGCAAGCGUUAAUCGGAAUUACUGGGCGUAAAGCGUGCGCAGGCGGUUGUGCAAGACAGGUGUGAAAUCCCCGGGCUUAACCUGGGAACUGCACUUGUGACUGCACAGCUGGAGUACGGCAGAGGGGGAUGGAAUUCCGCGUGUAGCAGUGAAAUGCGCAGAUAUCGUAAGGAAGACCAGUGGCGAAGGCGAAUCUCUGGACAGUUACUGACACUGAGGCACGAAGGCCAGGGGAGCAAACGGG
rnacentral:rRNA from 1 species